CCUUGGAACUGCCAUCAAAACUUUUUAGCUAGAGUGUGAUAGAGGUAAGUGGAAUUUCUAGUGUAGAGGUGAAAUUCGUAGAUAUUAGAAAGAACACCAAAUGCGAAGGCAACUUACUGGGUCACUACUGACACUGAGGAGCGAAAGCAUGGGUAGCGAAGAGGAUUAGAUACCCUCGUAGUCCAUGCCGUAAACGAUGUGUGCUAGACGUUGGAAAUAUAUUUUUCAGUGUCGCAGCGAAAGCAUUAAGCACACCGCCUGGGGAGUACGACCGCCAGGUUAAAACUCAAAUGAAUUGACGGGGACCC
rnacentral:rRNA from 1 species